rnacentral:rRNA from 1 species
GGUGAACGCUGGCGGUAGGCCUAACACAUGCAAGUCGAACGACAGCACAGUAAGAGCUUGCUCUUACGGGUGGCGAGUGGCGGACGGGUGAGGAAUACAUCGGAAUCUACUUUUUCGUGGGGGAUAACGUAGGGAAACUUACGCUAAUACCGCAUACGACCUACGGGUGAAAGCAGGAGAUCUUCGGACCUUUCGCGAUUGAAUGAGCCGAUGUCGGAUUAGCUAGUUGGCGGGGUAAAGGCCCACCAAGGCGACGAUGCGUAGCUGGUCUGAGAGGAUGAUCAGCCACACUGGAACUGAGACACGGUCCAGACUCCUACGGGAGGCAGCAGUGGGGAAUAUUGGGCAAUGGGCGAAAGCCUGAUCCAGCCAUACCGCGUGGGUGAAGAAGGCCUUCGGGUUGUAAAGCCCUUUUGUUGGGAAAGAAAAGCAGCAGGUGAAUACCCCGCUGUUCUGACGGUACCCAAAGAAUAAGCACCGGCUAACUUCGUG